rnacentral:rRNA from 1 species
GACGAACGCUGGCGGCGUGCUUAACACAUGCAAGUCGAACGGUGAAGCUCCAGCUUGCUGGAGUGGAUCAGUGGCGAACGGGUGAGUAACACGUGAGCAACCUGCCCCAGACUCUGGAAUAAGCGCUGGAAGCGGCGUCUAAUACUGGAUACGAGAUCAAGCCGCAUGGUUAUGGUCUGGAAAGUUUUUCGGUUUGGGAUGGGCUCGCGGCCUAUCAGCUUGUUGGUGAGGUAAUGGCUCACCAAGGCGACGACGGGUAGCCGGCCUGAGAGGGCGACCGGCCACACUGGGACUGAGACACGGCCCAGACUCCUACGGGAGGCAGCAGUGGGGAAUAUUGCACAAUGGGCGAAAGCCUGAUGCAGCGACGCCGCGUGAGGGAUGACGGCCUUCGGGUUGUAAACCUCUUUCAGCAGGGAAGAAGCGAAAGUGACGGUACCUGCAGAAGAAGCACCGGCUAACUACGUG